rnacentral:misc_RNA from 1 species
UUAUUAGCACAAUCCAUAUAAUUUUCAUACGUAUAAUCGAACAUUUCGAAAUCAAUUUGAUAUCUUUUAUACAAAUUAUAAAUCAUAUCCUGAUUAAGAGCAUUAAAAUAGCUACAGGUUCGGUCAUAGUCGGUGAAGCCACUUCUUGUUUCUUCCAAUCUUGGUAGGUACACUUCAUUUUCGGCUAAGCCUAUUCUUGAGAAAAUAAAAUCUAUUUCUCUGAACGUAUAAUUUUCCAAUUUUAGGAUGAAAUUAUAGUUUAUAUCGCAUACUGAACAGUGUGAAUAAUAACUCUCCCAAUGCACGUCAUCUUUUGCUGUAGGCUGCCGCAGCAGCCAGACUAUAAAUUCUUUGAAAGUAGGAACCAACUUCAAUCUGAAAUCAACAGGUGGUUUGCAAGCUUCGUUGAGAAGUCUUCCUACCCGUUGACAAUACAUGAAUAUAUAGGACAAGUGAUUCACAGGAUUAUUGGAAAG